AGCGGCGGACGGGUGAGUAACGCGUGGGAACGUGCCCUUUGGUACGGAACAACUGAGGGAAACUUCAGCUAAUACCGUAUGUGCCCUUCGGGGGAAAGAUUUAUCGCCAUUGGAGCGGCCCGCGUUGGAUUAGGUAGUUGGUGAGGUAAAGGCUCACCAAGCCUACGAUCCAUAGCUGGUCUGAGAGGAUGAUCAGCCACACUGGGACUGAGACACGGCCCAGACUCCUACGGGAGGCAGCAGUAGGGAAUCUUGCGCAAUGGGCGAAAGCCUGACGCAGCCAUGCCGCGUGAAUGAUGAAGGUCUUAGGAUUGUAAAAUUCUUUCACCGGGGAAGAUAAUGACGGUACCCGGAGAAGAAGCCCCGGCUAACUUCGUGCCAGCAGCCGCGGUAAUACGAAGGGGGCUAGCGUUGCUCGGAAUUACUGGGCGUAAAGGGCGCGUAGGCGGAUAUUUAAGUUGGGGGUGAAAUCCCGGGGCUCAACCUCGGAAUUGCCUUCAA
rnacentral:rRNA from 1 species